rnacentral:lncRNA from 1 species
CGCCGGCCGAGCCCCGGAGAGCGCCUCGGGCGGGGGGCCGGCUGGCGCGCGCCGGACGUUUCGCUCGCAUCUCGCCGGGAGCGAAGCGUUUCAGAGGUCGGGUGAGGCUGCCCUCUCGACUCUGCCUUUCUAGAUAGCCGCGGUCCGUGCUACGCCCCGGACAGGUAUGCGCGAGGGGGUGACGGAACCUUUCCCGAACACGGUCGAGGUGCCGCCUCCCCUGCCCGUGCGGGGCAGCUGCUCUCCCCUCGCUGCGCCGCUCUCCUCGCAGCCCCGCCGGGACGCCCCGACCCCCGUGGCCCCGAGCCGCCCGCUGGGCGAGCCCGGAGCCGCCGCCUCGGCGCACCUGCCCGGCGGGCAACGCGAGCGGCGAGAGCCGGACGGCCUCGGGCUUUGCCCCGUCCCCGCCGAGCCGCCGUCGCGCUGCCUGCCCCGCGGGCCGUGCUGCGAAGCAGAAGUGCACCGAACGAGAGGCUGGGCUCCUUCCUCCGGGGGAGGAACGGGGGAAAAUAGGUGCUCGAGAAAAGGACGGUGACGCCGGCGGAGCCGCGCGUCGUGACACAUCGCGGUGGCUGCUCUUAGGGAGCUCGUAAGGCGGCUCGGCUCCAGAGUACAAACGUGUCCCCGACCGGCAGAAUUCGAAACUGAAUCUAACUCUUGUGAAGAUAAGGCAGGAUUUCGUGUCACGGGCAUUGCUUAGAUUCAAUUUAAAUCUCCUGUUCCAGUAAAAAGCCACACACUUCCCCAAACGCUGGAAAAUCCCUCAUUAAAGUCCUUGGCCAAAAGGGAAUUGCAUUUUGUAUACUCUUAGGCAAACAGUGCUGAAAGAAUGCUACUUGGUUUAGGAAUACCAGUAAUCCAAGUCACGUGUGAGUGCCAUGCUGAUUACAAUACCAUUGUAGUGACACAAAGUCAGCUCAUUCAGCCUCUCGCGGUGGCAAACGUCGGCACAGAAUGAUCAGACAAGAGGCGGUUUUUUUGCCGGUGAGAUUUGUGCGAGAGCUUCGGCAGGUACAGCCGGCUUCAGAGCUAAGGCAAACCACGUCCUCCGUUCGGAUGCUCGUUUUGUCCUUCCUAAGCCCUUGCAGUAAUACGCGGUUUGAAAACGAGCAGUAAGCACCGCAUUUGUGCUGCGAGGUAGCAGCGGGGUCUGCUUUGUAAAAAUAACUUUCAAAAUAGUUAUUUACAUUACAAAAAAAGCUCGCACAGAACGGUCCGUGCGGAUAUUUUUUUUGCAAAAUACUAUUCGGAGGCGAUGGCACACAGUUCAGCAGGACCGGGCUCUUCUCAGAAGGGUCGGCUCUCCUCCAGGUGCCGCCUCGUGGAGAAGCUGGCCUGGAGAGACACCCGGCUCUUAGGCUUGUUUACUGAUUAGCUUGGGCACGUCAUUCACCCUCUCAGUGUUGCUGUAUGUACAGACUUCACAGCAUGGAGCUGCUUCUCUAAGCAGGUUUUGAAGAUCGGUCGCUCUUUUGUACAGCGUUUUGUUCAUGCUGUAUUUUGUUCCAAAAGGAAAGGUCUGAAAUCUGUGGGCAUCAGCUGGGAAUCGGUUUGAGACAAAUACUCUCUGCUGAUUAUAGAAGAAAAAAAAAAUGUUACUUGAAGCCAACGGGAGUGCUUUUGUACGUUUCAGCUGAGGUUGAUUCAAACUUUACUGAAUUCAUAUGCAAUGAGUAUGACUGUACUUGAUUGUACCUCAGGCUGUAUGAGAUGAGCACAAAGAUGAUACUAACAGAAGAAUGGCAUCCUAUGAAGGGUGUAAAAACCAGUCCAGUUCCACACACAAAAAGGCCUUGCUGAUACUGCACCUUAGGGCACCUUAGUCAGCUUUAUCUGUGCCAAGGGACAAUUCCAUCUCCAGUAGUCAGACUGGAGACGUGAUGCUUUUGGUGAGCCUUAUGUCUGAUAGGUUUGAGCCAACAGCAAACGAAGCCUGCUAAAUGAGAGUGGGAUGCAUAUUGACAGGGGAAAGCUGCUCAGGGUCGUGGCUGCUUUCCUGUUCCGGCAAGAGGUGCCACAAAACUGUUGGAUGACACUGGAUGAAGGGACUGCAGGCUGAAUGUGACCUUUGUAUUUCCUGAAGGAGUUGACUGUACAAGGUGUAAAUCUUUCUACGUGGCAUCUGACUCAACAACAUUAAACUGUGAAGCUGAGUUCUCCAGGACUGCAGCCCUUCUCUGAAGAGGUACAAGCAAAAACACCGAUGAUUCUCAAGGCUUCCUGACCAAUUUGUGUCUGGGUUAGCAGCAAGGCAUUGCAUUGCUGUGGUGUCUUGGCUACGUAGGAGGUGUGAGUACUUAUUACAUGCUUGAAACAAACAGAAACGUCUCUAUGACACUGCUAGUGACUGUUUGCUGGAUCCUGUGGGAUUGUGGACAGCCAGGAGCAAACUCCAUGAACUUGCUGCGUUUCCACGUGCACCACAGCUGCCGCGGCUCCUCGCUGUAGUGGAACCGAUGCCCUUCGUGUUGUUUGUUCUCUCAGUUCUGUCAAGCAGGACGUACGUGGGACCUUAUCGUAUCGUUUUGGCAGGCUCUCCGCCAGUUACUGCUGACAGACACCCGUUUAUCAGCCGCAUCUCUGAGACAAGGCGGCCGGCCCGGCUUUCGAGAGUAAAGAGUCCAAACGGUGCCAGCCUCGUCUGCGCGUUAUAAAUAGAAGUACGGUAUCUGCCGAGCGCUCGACGCACCGCUACGCACGGCAGGCAGGCAGGCAGUGCGGGCUGGAGGCCGGGCAGCGGCGGGGCGCGGCGUGAGAGCCUGCUCGGGGCUCGCUUUGCCCCCGCCCGGCGGCCGGUGCGGGCAGCGGAGGGGUCACAGCGAG